GCCGCGAUGAGAGUUCCGCAGGCAGUACCAAACCGAUCUACCGCUACUUAGCUUCCAAGGGUCCCGGGUCCCGGAGGGCGUCAGACCGCCAACUCCGUCAGGACCCCGAAGGUAGCAGCGGUACGUGGAUCCUGUCGUCGCUUCGUCAGGCCCGGGGCACUGCG
rnacentral:SRP_RNA from 1 species